GAGAGUGUCUCUGGACCUUUCGCUAUUGGAGCUUCCAAUGGCGGUGCCUUUUGGACGCUUCUGACCAUGUUCUCACCGCUUCUACCAGACAACCUCACCACCACUCCCUAUCCGUAAUCCAAAUCCAAAUCCAAAUCAAAAUCCAAAUCCUUCCAUUCAUUCAUCCACUCCUCUCAGCCGUCGGAUUUAGGGUUAUGGUAGCUGCAGGACUGGGAUGAUUGCCAUGAUGAGCGGCUAUGGAUGCGUCAAGAUGGAGGACGAGUACAUCCGCAGACACCACAGGCAUGAGAUCAGAGACAACCAGUGCAGCUCCUCUCUCGUCAAGCACAUCAAAGCUCCUGUUCAUCUGGUUUGGUCUUUGGUGAGGAGUUUUGAUCAGCCACAGAAAUACAAACCUUUUGUGAGUAGAUGCAUUGUUCAGGGUGACCUUGAGAUUGGGAGUGUUAGGGAAGUGAAUGUUAAGUCGGGGCUUCCUGCAACGACUAGCACUGAGAGAUUGGAGCUUCUAGAUGACGAGGAGCAUAUCUUCGGCAUGAGGAUUGUUGGCGGGGAUCACAGGCUAAAGAAUUACUCGUCCAUUGUUACUGUCCAUCCUGAGAUUAUAGAUGGGAGACCAGGGACACUAGUGAUCGAAUCAUUUGUGGUAGAUGUGCCCGAUGGAAACACCAAGGAUGAAACAUGCUACUUCGUAGAAGCCUUGAUCAAGUGCAACCUGAAGUCAUUGGCUGAUGUGUCAGAGCGAUUGGCAAUACAGGACCGGACAGAACCCAUUGACAGAAUGUAAGUGCCUUCACUCAAAAAGGUCCUAGCAUCAACGAUCUGAGCGCUGUGAGCUGCUGUGGGCAAAGCAUUUGAGGAACAUUUGAAGCUUAUUGGACACCAGAGUCAAACUAUGACUGGUGCUGAGUACAGAGACUGAAAAUGAUGCUGCCCAGGAUCACAUACUCACAAUAAAGAGGAUCCAAGAAUGGCUGUUACCAUCCUAGUAACAGUGAAAAGGUAUUGUAGAUUGUAGAACUCUCAGGUUCAAGCUAUUGUGACAUGUCCUUAUCUGGUCGCCAUUUCUAGAUUCUAUAGGACACUUACUGUUACCUUAUCAAAGAUGGAAGUCUUUUGAGCCACAAAAAUUUCUGUGUUUCUAUUUUCUGUAUGAUGUUUAUAACAUCAAUGCUCUUGCUUUUUCUUAUCA